GUUUAUCCCAACAUAUAUAUACAAGCCUGAAAAGUUUAGCCUUGAACAUCACAUCUGAAAGGACCAGAGCAUUUUGUCUUAUUACCUGCUCAAUAAGGCAACAUAAUGAUAAAAAAAAUCUGCCUUCUUAUACUUAUGAUGACCGGUGAAAUAUAUGGAAGUGUUCUUGACUUAAAAUGGCAACUCUGGAAAUCCCAAUAUGCAAAGAGCUACUUAAAUGACAUGGAGGAGCUUCUGAGGAGACAGAUUUGGGAUUCCAGCUUGAAAAAAGUCAUGCAUCACAAUAAACGAGCUGAUGAAGGAAAGGAGAGUUACUGGCUGGAGAUGAAUGAGUUUGCUGAUAUGGUAAAGCACUGCAGCAUAUACAUUAAUUCAUGGCUCAUUUUUUUUCCUUUCUGUGCUUUUCUAAGGAAG